rnacentral:rRNA from 1 species
CCUACGGGUUGCACCAGUGGGGAAUAUUGCACAAUGGGCGCAAGCCUGAUGCAGCCAUGCCGCGUGUGUGAAGAAGGCCUUCGGGUUGUAAAGCACUUUCAGCGAGGAGGAAGGUGGUGAGCUUAAUACGCUCAUCAAUUGACGCUACUCGCAGAAGAAGCACCGGCUAACUCCGUGCCAGCAGCCGCGGUAAUACAGAGGGUGCAAGCGUUAAUCGGAAUUACUGGGCGUAAAGCGCACGCAGGCGGUCUGUCAAGUCGGAUGUGAAAUCCCCGGGCUCAACCUGGGAACUGCAUUCGAAACUGGCAGGCUAGAGUCUUGUAGAGGGGGGUAGAAUUCCAGGUGUAGCGGUGAAAUGCGUAGAGAUCUGGAGGAAUACCGGUGGCGAAGGCGGCCCCCUGGACAAAGACUGACGCUCAGGUGCGAAAGCGUGGGGAGCAAACAGGAUUAGAUACCCGUGUAGUC